AGUCGACGGUAAGCUCCGCUUGCUGGGGUACACGAGUGGCGAACGGGUGAGUAACACGUGGGUGACCUGCCCUGCACUUCGGGAUAAGCCUGGGAAACUGGGUCUAAUACCGGAUAGGACCGCACCGUGAGGGUGUGGUGGAAAGUUUUUUCGGUGUGGGAUGGGCCCGCGGCCUAUCAGCUUGUUGGUGGGGUAAUGGCCUACCAAGGCGGCGACGGGUAGCCGGCCUGAGAGGGUGGACGGCCACAUUGGGACUGAGACACGGCCCAGACUCCUACGGGAGGCAGCAGUGGGGAAUAUUGCACAAUGGGCGGAAGCCUGAUGCAGCGACGCCGCGUGGGGGAUGACGGCCUUCGGGUUGUAAACUCCUUUCACCAUCGACGAAGGGUUUCUGACGGUAGAUGGAGAAGAAGCACCGGCUAACUACGUGCCAGCAGCCGCGGUAAUACGUAGGGUGCGAGCGUUGUCCGGAAUUACUGGGCGUAAAGAGCUCGUAGGUGGUUUGUCGCGUCGUCUGUGAAAUUCCGGGGCUUAACUCCGGGCGUGCAGGCGAUACGGGCAUAACUUGAGUACUGUAGGGGAGACUGGAAUUCCUGGUGUAGCGGUGAAAUGCGCAGAUAUCAGGAGGAACACCGGUGGCGAAGGCGGGUCUCUGGGCAGUAACUGACGCUGAGGAGCGAAAGCAUGGGGAGCGAACAGGAUUAGAUACCCUGGUAGUCCAUGCCGUAAACGGUGGGCGCUAGGUGUGGGUUUCCUUCCACGGGAUCCGUGCCGUAGCUAACGCAUUAAG
rnacentral:rRNA from 1 species